UACAGAGACUGCAAGCGUUAUUCGGAUUCACUGGGCGUAAAGGGUGCGCGAGCGGUCGGGUGUGUCAGAUGUGAAAUCCCGAGGCUCAACCUCGGAACUGCGUCUGAAACUACUCGACUAGAGUACUGGAGAGGGUAACGGAAUUCACGGUGUAGCAGUGAAAUGCGUAGAUAUCGUGAGGAACACCCGUGGCGAAAGCGGCUCUCUGGGACGGUACUGACGCUGAGACGCGAAAGCGUGGGGAGCAAACAGG
rnacentral:rRNA from 1 species